CAGCUUCUUCCUCAGUCCGAAAAUAUUUGUCAUAGGAAUGAAUGUAUUAAAUAUAUUUUAGUUUUAGAUACAUCUAUUUUUAUACAUUUGUGUGAUAAGUAAUUUCGGACAGAGGAAGUACAAA
rfam:Hordeum vulgare subsp. vulgare, WGS project CAJW01000000 data, contig: morex_contig_48018